GAAUUUUGGACAAUGGGCGAAAGCCUGAUCCAGCACUGCCGCGUGCCGGAUUAAGGCCUUCGGUUUUUUAACUGCUUUUGUACGGAACGAAAAGCUUUGGGUUAAUACCCUGGCGUCAUGACGGUUCCGUAAGAAUAAGCACCGGCCACCUACGUGCCAUCAGCCGCGGUAAUACGUAGGGGGCAAGUGUUAAUCGGAAUUACGGGGCGUAAAGCGUGCGCAGGCGGUUUGGUAAGACAGAGGUGAAAUCCCCGGGCUCAACCUGGGAACUGCCUUUGUGACUGCAAGGCUAGAGUACGGCAGAGGGGGGUGGAAUUCCGCGUGUAGCAGUGAAAUGCGUAGAUAUGCGGAGGAACACCGAUGGCGAAGGCAACCCCCUGGGCCUGUACUGACGCUCAUGCACGAAAGCGUGGGGAGCAAAC
rnacentral:rRNA from 1 species